UACGUAGGGGGGCAAGCGUUUGUCCGGAUUUAUUGGGCGUAAAGAGCGUGUAGGCGGCCAUACAGGUCCGUUGUGAAAACUGGAGGCUUAACCUCCAGACGUCGAUGGAAACCGUAUGGCUAGAGUCCGGAAGAGGAGAGUGGAAUUCCUGGGUGUAGCGGUGAAAUGCGCAGAUAUCAGGAGGAACACCAGCGGCGAAAGGGCGG
rnacentral:rRNA from 1 species